GAGUUUGAUCUUGGCUCAGGACGAACGCUGGCGGCGUGCCUAAUACAUGCAAGUCGAGCGAGGGUUUUCGGACCCUAGCGGCGGACGGGUGAGUAACACGUAGGCAACCUGCCUCUCAGACCGGGAUAACAUAGGGAAACUUAUGCUAAUACCGGAUAGGUUUUUGGAUUGCAUGAUCCGAAAAGAAAAGAUGGCUUUUGGCUAUCACUGGGAGAUGGGCCUGCGGCGCAUUAGCUAGUUGGUGGGUAACGGCCUACAAGCGACGAUGCGUAGCCGACCUGAGAGGGUGACCGGCC
rnacentral:rRNA from 1 species